UGUAUCUAUCACUAUGCAUUUACUGGAGGCUGAUGGAGAAUAUUGAUUGGAUGUAUAGAGGUGACUCCUUUGGACACCAGUUGAUCAUUUGCUUUUCUCUAAUUUCAACCAUUGAAAUAAAUAAUUGUGAAAAAUUACAUUGGAUGAACUAUGUUAUCAUCUACUUGAUGGGAAUAAAUGCCUUAGCCACUAUAUACCAUAACCGACUGAAUUCUUCCUCUAGCCCUGUUUUAGUUUACUGUGGUAUUUCGACUUAAUUUGUUCCUAGCCAGUUUGUAUCUCGAAUCCCAGUUUUCCAUUUUAUCUUCCUUAAAUUUAAAUUUUAAAACUUAUUUUAUGGGAAA
rnacentral:lncRNA from 1 species